UGCACGGUGGCGCAGUUGGUAGCACUGUUGCUUUGCACCUAAAACUUCCUGGGUUCGACUCCCAGCCGGGUGUCAUUCUGCAU